GCCCGGGUAGCCCAACUGGUAGAGGCCGCGUCCUUAAAAGACGCUGCUCGAAAGAGCGUGCGGGUUCGAGCCCCGCCCCGGGCA
rnacentral:tRNA from 1 species